rnacentral:lncRNA from 1 species
AGGGGGGCUUGGUAGCCCUUUAGAUGAUCGAGUGGAUUGAUCAAGCCAUCGUAUGGCUCGAUCGUGGCAUUUUGAAUCCAUAUGGGAUCAGUUCGCUUAGAAUGUCCUGGGAGAAUGGUGGUCAGGUGUUGAAACUGAAGCUAUCAUUUUGUUGACGACCUUCUGACUAGAACUUAGCAAUCUUUCGUUCCAACUCCUAAACCUUCUUCUUAAGGUUAUCUUUAUGUCAAAAAUAGUGCCGGCAUGGGGAGAGGCUUGUGGUGGAGUCCUCCUUGGACGGCUUCGAUAAUCGAUAUCUUUGAUCAUCUCCUCUUAGGUUUCAAGGUUGUCGAGGCGAGUGGCAUGGAGCCGGUUCGGCUGACCAUGACCGUCAGUGUGAGACUUGAGCCACAUUCGAGUGC